rfam:Triticum urartu cultivar G1812 contig676171, whole genome shotgun sequence.
CAAGUAACCCCUCCGUCCGGAAUUACUUGUCAUCAAAAUGGAUGUGUCUAGAACUCAAAUAUAUCUAGAUACAUCCAUUUCAAUGACAAGUAUUUUCGAACGGAGGGAGUACAAG